GAGUUUGAUCGUGGCUCAGGAUGAACGCUGGCGGCGUGCCUAACACAUGCAAGUCGAGCGAAGCAUACAGGAGGAAGUUUUCGGAUGGAAUCCUGCAUGGCUGAGCGGCGGACGGGUGAGUAACGCGUGGGUAACCUGCCUUAUACAGGGGAGUAACAGUUAGAAAUGACUGCUAAUACCGCAUAAGCGCACAGUACCGCAUGGUAGUGUGUGAAAAACUACCGGU
rnacentral:rRNA from 1 species